rnacentral:tRNA from 2 species
GAGGAUGUAGCUCAGAGGACAGAGUGCUUGUUUCCGAGACAAGUGGUCACAGGUACCGCUUCGCGGAAGCAAGCUACGACCCUGUCAUCCUCG